rnacentral:rRNA from 1 species
UAAUACGUAGGGUGCGAGCGUUAAUCGGAAUUACUGGGCGUAAAGCGUGCGUAGGCGGUUCUCCAAGUCCGCUGUGAAAGCCCCGGGCUUAACCUGGGAAUGGCAGUGGAAACUAUAGGACUGGAAUCUGGCAGAGGGGGGUGGAAUGCCACGUGUAGCAGUGAAAUGCGUAGAGAUGUGGCGGAACACCGAUGGCGAAGGCAGCCCCCUGGGCUGAGAUUGACGCUGAGGCACGAAAGCGUGGGGAGCAAACAGGAUUAGAUACCCUGGUAGUCCACGCCCUAAACGAUGGCAACUAGGUGUUGGGGGAGCAAUUCCUUGGUACCGCAGCUAACGCGUGAAGUUGCCCGCCUGGGGAGUACGGUCGCAAGAUUA